GCCCCCGUAGCUCAGAUGGACAGAGCAGCAGUUUCCUAAACUGUUGGUCGCGUGUUCGACUCACGCCGGGGGCGCCA
rnacentral:tRNA from 1 species